GACGAACGCUGGCGGCGUGCUUAACACAUGCAAGUCGAGCGAGGCCCGCCCUUCGGGGCGGUGUUCUAGCGGCGAACGGGUGAGUAACACGUGGGCAACCUGCCCCCGGCUCUGGGAUAACUCCAAGAAAUUGGGGCUAAUACCGGAUAUGACCGCUGACCGCAUGGUCUGGUGGUGGAAAGAUUUAUCGGCUGGGGAUGGGCCCGCGGCCUAUCAGCUUGUUGGUGGGGUAGUGGCCUACCAAGGCGACGACGGGUAGCCGGCCUGAGAGGGUGACCGGCCACACUGGGACUGAGACACGGCCCAGACUCCUACGGGAGGCAGCAGUGGGGAAUAUUGCGCAAUGGGCGAAAGCCUGACGCAGCGACGCCGCGUGGGGGAUGACGGCCUUCGGGUUGUAAACCUCUUUCAGCAGGGACGAAGCGCAAGUGACGGUACCUGCAGAAGAAGCACCGGCCAACUACGUGCCAGCCGCCGCAGUAAUAC
rnacentral:rRNA from 1 species